UACGUAGGGUGCGAGCGUUGUCCGGAAUUACUGGGCGUAAAGAGCUCGUAGGUGGUUUGUCGCGUUGUUCGUGAAAUCUCACGGCUUAACUGUGAGCGUGCGGGCGAUACGGGCAGACUAGAGUACUGCAGGGGAGACUGGAAUUCCUGGUGUAGCGGUGGAAUGCGCAGAUAUCAGGAGGAACACCGGUGGCGCAGGCGGGUCUCUGGGCAGUAACUGACGCUGAGGCGCGAAAGCGUGGGGAGCGAACAGG
rnacentral:rRNA from 1 species